UCUACACUUCAUAACUCCCUACUCCUCACUAUUUCACUCCUCACCCGGAACACCCCGUAAAUGUGUAAUGCCCAAUCUCUCUAUCUCUCUCUGAGUUUCCUCUCACACAAACCCUCUCUCUUUAUUUCUUAGCCAUCUACAGGAACCUCAAUCGAUAGCGUCCAUCGCCUCCGCCAUCGUUUAGCUGCCAACGUCCACACCAUUGAUUAAGAAGAUCCAGCCAUUGGCGUCGUCUGCAGAUCACUAUCGGACCGUUAGAUCUGUGUAUGCAUACCAGUCGCACAUUCGCCCAACUGUCAGCCUUUUUCCAUUCAUGCGUCUGUCUGGGUUUCUAGCAUGCGAGUUCUGUCGUCGUGCGCUGCCGUUGAUGAACCUCCAUCGUUCCUAUGGGUUUCACCGGAAGCUUGGAGUUAGUUUGGAAGGUGUCGAAGCUAUUGUUCAGUGGAGGAGGAAGCCUUUGAGUGGAAUCUUGGGUGAUUUCUGGAUCAAAUGCACAUUUGGGUAAGUGGUUUAAGGACACUUAAGUAAACUGUGAUUUGAAAUUAUACUCUUUGGGUAAAACUAAUUAUGGUUUAUGUUUACACUGCUUCAUUUUGAGAAAAUCAAAAUAAGAACGAGUUGUGGUGGUAUGCGAGGGAAGGUUGUGUGUGGCUGAAAAUGGAACAAACCAUUUUAGUCUUUUUAUACAAGCCAAUUUUCCCCUCCCCUUCAAAGCCUAUGUAGGAUGUCACUAUCUAAGUACAUUAGACAAUUGGUCCUUGCUUGAUAAAUCAUCAUUUCAAAAACUAAUUCAUAGAAAAACCAACGUUCUUAUCUCUUGUCAUUUGUCUUCCUGCACAUUGUAUUUGCAUUUGCUAAAUUUUUUUUAUUAUUAUUUGAAUAAGGGCCUGUUUAAAACACACAUUGAAGGUGUUCUAAAAACUAUUUUGAGAGAUUACCAAACACCUUGAUUUCUUCUAAAAUAACUUAAUUUAAAAAAUUAAACACUUGAAAAGUUAAACUAAACACCCCAUAAAUUAUUGUAAGGUGUUUGUUGAUACUACUUUUUUUCUUUUUGUUUUAAACUUUAGGCAUAGAGUAUUUGCAUUCAUUUUUUAUUUUUAUUACCUUGUUGAGAUUAUUUAGUUUCAUAAGUUUAGUUGUUUGUUUUUAUUUGUUUAUAUUUUUGUAAUUUUUUGUUUAUGUUCAUGUAUUUUUUUCAAAAUGAAUACAGUUACCAUUGUCCUUUCUCUUAGUUAUUAGGUUGUGCCUAUAAGCAUGAGAAAGAGGCUGCACAAUUUCUCCUGAAUUUUUAUGCAAUGGGUGCCUAAUUAUUCGAAAUGCUUUUGGGUACAUAUCCUCUUUCCUGUGCAUUUGGACUAAAUAUUGCUCAUUUUGAAAAUUUAUGGUACCUUUUAUUGUGAACCUCUUCUUAUGGAUUCUACUCAAUGAAUUGACAACUAUGCAGAUUAAGUAAAAUUUUUAUUGCAACCUCAGCUUGCACAAUCGUCUGGCAGCUAAUAGCCACUCAUUACUUUUAGCACUAUGAUAUAUAUAAUUAACAUAAUGUUUACAUUGACAAACCUUUUUCUCAUUAAAUUUGUAGUAUGGUAACUUCUCACUUAUAACUUUUUUUGUAGCAUGAUAGAGAGACUUAUUAAUUAGCAUGGAUGUUCCAUCGCUGAUGUUUAAUAAGUAGUAUCUAUUAGUUCUCUUUCUCUCUCUUGCUCUUUUUUGUCUCAUUUGUUUCUUGGAUGGCCAUAUUUUGAUGACUAACCAGUAGAAUAUGGACUCGCAGGAGAAGAAUUACUUAUCAAAGCAUUGAUUUUUCUUGAACUUGAUUGAAAAAUGGUGACUGAUGUUGAACUUGAUUGAAUUAUCAGUGAAUGUAUGUCCAGGAGUUAAAUGUUUUAGUUGCUUAAGAAUUCUAAUUUAAAUUAUCAAUGUUCUUGAAUUAAAUGUUCUCUGGAUGUUUAAGGAGGUUGUACUCUUGGGCCUUGGCAACAUGACGUUAAUGUUCUUAAUAUAUAUCUUAACUACGUGAUUUUUGUCUUUAAACUUUCAACCAAAUGCUAUAGGUUCUCACAUUGCACAUGAAGGUUCGCUUUCUUAUACUUUCUUCUAACAUUUUUGUGGACUUCAACUAGAGCUACUUCAUUGCUAAUAAAUUGUUGAAGAAGUCUACUUAACUACUGAAUCUGUGACACAUACUUGAUUUUUUAAAAUGAUUUCUGAACUAAAAUGCAGGUUAUAUAAGGGUUCUCAUGAAUACUGUUGCCUUUUCUCUAUACUUCUCAAAUAAAAUAAUAUUGUCAGUCCUCAAUCUUGUCGUGUGAGUGCUCAAUUUCCCAGAUUUCCAUUUCUUUUCCAGCAAUAUCUUAAUUCAAAGGGUGGAAAACUUGACAUGUUUUUUCUACUGAAUUCAUGUUCACAAAUUCAAUCAAGGAUGCUUUCAAUAACUUGAACUAUGAUAGUCGUUUAAGUCGGAAAAUUAUCUUUAAAAUGUAAUGUAUUUUUCUUGAACAACUAAGUUUCCACGUUUUGGAGUUGUGCCAGACAUGGUAACAGACCGGUACUUAAUAUUCCAACCAAAAUUAACAUGAGUACUAUUGAAUUUAUCACUUCUGUGAAGCUCAUUAAAAUGAGUGAUACGGUUGGAUCUUCUCCUUACAAGUUCCUAUUUUUUUUUUUUUUUUUCUUUUGGCAUGUUUUCUCACGGUUGCAGGACCAAGCUUUUAAUAAGGAAAUAUCCAGCCAAAUGUGGAUGAUUCUUUUAGGUGAAAAUCUAAAGAGAGGUUGAUGAAUAUAGCUCUAAUAAACGCGUUUUCCUUCCAUGGUGGUGGAUCCGAGUGAGCUUUACAACCUUUGCAGAAUUAUGCUUCAGAUAAAGUAUUAUAUUGGGCAAUCAUAAAUGAGCCUAACGCAUUUGCUGAGGGAGGAUAUGACUUGUUCUAAUUCUAGGAACUUAAUACUUGUUGGUUGUCUCAGUAUAUGGUUCCAAGUCUUUCAUACGUUUGUCUUCAAUGUAGAAUAUAUAUAUAUAUAUAUAGAUACAUACUUCGUGGUUGAUACUUAGGGUUUUGUUGUCUAAAUAAUAUGGAAUUGAUUUGGAUGAAA